GAAGGUAUAGCUCAGUGGUAGAGUGCAUGCCUAGCAUGCACAAGGUCCUAGGUUCAAUCCCCAGAACCUCCA
rnacentral:tRNA from 1 species